AGCACGGGUGCUUGCACCUGGUGGCGAGUGGCGAACGGGUGAGUAAUGCGUCGGAACGUACCGAGUAAUGGGGGAUAACGCAGCGAAAGUUGUGCUAAUACCGCAUACGCCCUGAGGGGGAAAGUGGGGGACCGCAAGGCCUCACGUUAUUCGAGCGGCCGACGUCUGAUUAGCUAGUUGGUGGGGUAAAGGCCUACCAAGGCGACGAUCAGUAGCGGGUCUGAGAGGAUGAUCCGCCACACUGGGACUGAGACACGGCCCAGACUCCUACGGGAGGCAGCAGUGGGGAAUUUUGGACAAUGGGGGCAACCCUGAUCCAGCCAUUCCGCGUGAGUGAAGAAGGCCUUCGGGUUGUAAAGCUCUUUCAGCUGGAACGAAACGGUACGCGCUAACAUCGUGUGCUAAUGACGGUACCGGCAGAAGAAGCACCGGCUAACUACGUGCCAGCAGCCGCGGUAAUACGUAGGGUGCGAGCGUUAAUCGGAAUUACUGGGCGUAAAGCGUGCGCAGGCGGAUUGUUAAGCAAGACGUGAAAUCCCCGGGCUUAACCUGGGAAUGGCGUUUUGAACUGGCAGUCUAGAGUGCGUCAGAGGGGGGUGGAAUUCCACGUGUAGCAGUGAAAUGCGUAGAGAUGUGGAGGAACACCGAUGGCGAAGGCAGCCCCCUGGGAUGACACUGACGCUCAUGUA
rnacentral:rRNA from 1 species